CCUACGGGAGGCUGCAGUGGGGAAUAUUGGACAAUGGGGGGAACCCUGAUCCAGCCAUGCCGCGUGUGUGAAGAAGGCCCUCGGGUUGUAAAGCACUUUCAGUGAGGAAGAACGCCUGGUGGUUAAUACCCAUCAGGAAAGACAUCACUCACAGAAGAGGCACCGGCUAACUCCGUGCCAGCAGCCGCGGUAAUCAGGAGGGUGCGAGCGUUAAUCGGAAUUACUGGGCGUAAAGCGCGCGUAGGUGGCUUGAUAAGCCGGUUGUGAAAGCCCCGGGCUCAACCUGGGAACGGCAUCCGGAACUGUCAAGCUAGAGUGCAGGAGAGGAAGGUAGAAUUCCCGGUGUAGCGGUGAAAUGCGUAGAGAUCGGGAGGAAUACCAGUGGCGAAGGCGGCCUUCUGGACUGACACUGACACUGAGGUGCGAAAGCGUGGGUAGCAAACAGGAUUAGAUACCCGUGUAGUC
rnacentral:rRNA from 1 species